ensembl:processed_transcript 4930405A21Rik RIKEN cDNA 4930405A21 gene
CCGCCCUCUCGAACCGCCCCGCCAAACCGGUUCCAGCUGGAACGCAAUGCGUGGUCUGUACGGGAGUUGGAGUGGCCGUCCGUCCCUGCGGGCUCACCCUGGUGGCGACGCCUCGCUGUAGCAGAUGGUGGCAGAGUGUCAUAAGGGGCAGUGUCCUUUUCUUAACUCAGCACAAAAGUACUACAUGGACCAGCUGCAGCUCUGGCCGGAAGCCUGGCGAUCUGGUGGCUCCGGCUUUCCUAGGUGGCAGGAUCAAGAUGUAAAACUCUCAGCUACUUCUGCCACACCAUGCCUACCUGCCUGCUGCCAUGCUCCCCACCAUGAUGAUCUUGAACUAAGCCUCUGAAACUAAGCCAGCCUCCAGUUCCAUGCUUUCCUUUAUAAGAGUCACCUUGAGCCAGGUGGGGGCAGUGCUGCACGCCUUUAUUCCUAGUACUCGAGAGGCAAAGGCAGGUGGGCCUCUGAGUUUGAGGCCAAGAUGGUUUAUAGAGCUAGUUUCAGGACAACCAGGACUACACAAAGAAACCCUGUCUCACCCUCCA